GGUGGCUCAGUGGUAGAGUGCUUGCCUUGCAUGCAUGAGACCCUGGGUUCGAUUCCUUAGCACCA
rfam:Dipodomys ordii contig_11108, whole genome shotgun sequence.